rnacentral:rRNA from 1 species
ACACAUGCAAGUCGAACGGUAACAGGAAGCAGCUUGCUGCUUUGCUGACGAGUGGCGGACGGGUGAGUAAUGUCUGGGAAACUGCCUGAUGGAGGGGGAUAACUACUGGAAACGGUAGCUAAUACCGCAUAACGUCGCAAGACCAAAGAGGGGGACCUUCGGGCCUCUUGCCAUCGGAUGUGCCCAGAUGGGAUUAGCUUGUUGGUGGGGUAACGGCUCGCCAAGGCGACGAUCCCUAGCUGGUCUGAGAGGAUGACCAGCCACACUGGAACUGAGACACGGUCCAGACUCCUACGGGAGGCAGCAGUGGGGAAUAUUGCACAAUGGGCGCAAGCCUGAUGCAGCCAUGCCGCGUGUAUGAAGAAGGCCUUCGGGUUGUAAAGUACUUUCAGCGGGGAGGAAGGGAGUAAAGUUAAUACCUUUACUCAUUGACGUUACCCGCAGAAGAAGCACCGGCUAACUCCGUGCCAGCAGCCGCGGUAAUACGGAGGGUGCAAGCGUUAAUCGGAAUUACUGGGCGUAAAGCGCACGCAGGCGGUUUGUUAAGUCAGAUGUGAAAUCCCCGGGCUCAACCUGGGAACUGCAUCUGAUACUGGCAAGCUUGAGUCUCGUAGAGGGGGGUAGAAUUCCAGGUGUAGCGGUGAAAUGCGUAGAGAUCUGGAGGAAUACCGGUGGCGAAGGCGGCCCCCUGGACGAAGACUGACGCUCAGGUGCGAAAGCGUGGGG